UUGGCUCAGGAUGAACGCUGGCGGCAGGCUUAACACAUGCAAGUCGAGGGGCAGCGCGAUGUAGCAAUACAUUGGCGGCGACCGGCGGAAGGGUGCGUAACGCGUGAGCAACAUGCCCGUCACAGGGGGAUAAUCCAUGGAAACGUGGUCUAAAACCGCAUAGAUUAUAGGAAAGACAACUUUUUUAUAAGAAAUCAGCAAUGAGGUGACGGAUUGGCUCGCGUAACAUUAGCCAGUUGGUAGGGUAACGGCCUACCAAAGCGACGAUGUUUAGGGGUCCUGAGAGGGAGGUCCCCCACACUGGAACUGAGACACGGUCCAGACUCCUACGGGAGGCAGCAGUGGGGAAUA
rnacentral:rRNA from 1 species